GGGUCCUUAAUGACGUCCACAGUUGCGACUGUCACACUACAAUAGUGACCUCUUCUGACCUGUAAACAACGAAUUUUCCCAACUGUUUUCAUCGAAUACAAUGCUUAUACGAGCAGUCAUCUCUACCGUGCCUCUGACAUGAGUCUCGUAUUCGAAACCAGUCAAAUCUACUGAUUUUUCAUACCGCACUGCAAUUCGCCUGCUGAAAGCAAGGAUAAGCCUAAACAAAUCUUCGAUACGAAAGCGCUUUAGGACACGUUGUCGUCCCAUAAAAACCCCAGAAAACGCCAUCUAUCUGCCAUAUUUUUCAACGUUCGUCGAACGCAAAAGGUUACGUACUACGCGGUUUGACUGUGUUUUCUUCAUCUGGCAGCUAUCGAACAGCUCCGUGGGGAUGCGCAGCUUGGUAAAUGCUUGCAGGUAUCCGCUAAGGCAACAUCCUGCAAGUUUGGUGUCCUUUCUCCUCGAAGCUGCUAAAGCUGCUACGAAAUCUUAAGACAAACGCCAACUGAAAAUGAUUGUCUAUAUAAAGUAAUUUUACGAUACAAAAGAAUAUUGUUCAUAGGGUCAGCGCAUCAACUGCAUAGCAUUUUAAUCAUGUGAUACUGUUUGUGUGGUGCCAUAUGAGAAACUCUCGUUAUUUAAUAAAAGAUGUAGUUCGGCGUAGCCCCAGAUCCGGCCAGAAUAAAUUCUACUAGGUAAAUAUCGCAUGCCGCUACUUCCGAACUUCGCCAGAACUUCUGUAAAAAUAGACCUCGUCAUGACAAAAGUUUAUCUAGUCACAUAAGUAUUGUCCCUACUGAUUUAACAGCAGCUUAAUAUCACUAAUUUCAGAUAACAGAAUUGUAUACUUGUAAAGCACUUUUCCGGUCCCAAAUCAAAAGUUGUCGUCAAGUGAUUACUGAAUGGAAAAUUAGAAGAUAAACUUGAUAAGACGGUCUUCAACGAACCUGGAGCCGUGCGGUCAUUAACCAGGCCCGGUGUUCUGACUGCGGUUGACAUGAAAUAGUAUCGAUCUCGAUAUGCUUUAUAUUUAUAGAUUUAAGCGUUUUUAGAGCCGAUCUUUCGAUUAUGACAGCAGUCGUUUCUGUGAAAUAUAAAAAGAUGGGAGCUGAAGAUGCCAGCUAGAAAUAGUUCCUGCCUAAAACAAUAUAUGUAGACAAUAAAACUUGCAAAAAUGAAGUGGCUGGAGAGUGAAAGUAUGUGCUAGUGAGUUGUGUAACCGUUUACCUUUCUAUAAUUAACAAUAAUAAUGCAUUUGUUACAAAAACAAUUUUUACUCUGAUGGCUCCCUGAAUAUAUAAUUUGCAAAUGAUGACGCCUAGUUUGUAAUAACUAGUUCACACGUACUGCUUACGAAGUACUAAAAAAGAACCCUUUAUACCAAAUUUUUAUUUCAAAGACCCUUCUCCCUGAACUAGAUAUUUCAGCUUUUAUCAGUACGUAUCAUAUAUACAUCAGUACAUACCCUUUUAUAAAGCUGUAGGCUUGGGACAUGUUAUUAUAUAUUAAAUUGAUGCCCAAAUAACAAGGUAUCUACAGUUGUCGUUAAACGUUUUUUAAAUCAAGUUAAUGGUGCUGGAAUAUUUGGGAAAUAAUAAAAGUUUUAAUUUUGAAUAACGUUAUGAAAAUUUCUAUGUUAUUCGCCUUAAACUACCAUUGACACCGAAGUUUUUCUUUCGUAGAUUGUUCAGCAUACGAAUGAA
rnacentral:lncRNA from 1 species